ACAGCUGGGGUCCCUGUCCUCUAUGAUCUGAAGACACACCAGCCCAUCCUUCUUCCUCCCCAGAUGGCUGGACUACAUCUGCUUUGAGGAUCAAGCAGGAGACAGAGAUAAGCUGCCACUUCCCCAAAUACAGAGUUGUACACUGUACGUCUUGAGAAUCAGACCUCCCACUGGCGGGAGCGCUUGCCCUUAACUGAUACGUCAAGGAAUCAAACCAGGUUAUUUUUGUUCAUGAGAUGGUGAAAUACACUGAAAGUAGUGAGGGGGGGAAAGGCGUGAGAGAGAAAACGCCCGCUGCUUCCACUGGGAUCCUUGCUGGCUGUUCCUGAGUUUUCCAUGGAAAGCACUUAGAUACUCAGAACAAAGGAUACUUGCUGGUGCACGGGGCAUGUUGAAAUACCUGGGAAAUUAACCCCUGGGAGCAGCACUCAACCGAUGAUGCAUAGAAACUGGCGGGUAAAAGUUCAGCUCUCUCACCCCUUGAGAGGAGUAACUCUAAGUGGGAUUUUGAAAUUGAAGAUGGGAUUAUUUUCACCUGUGGAUCAACUUGGUGUAGAACGAAGAUGGCAUGUACAGAAGCAGGAAUCCAGAGGCUGAGGUGAGCAUCCAUUCUUUUAUUCAUCCAUCUGUCCAUCCAUCCAUCCAUCUAUCCAUCCAUCAUCAUCCAUCAUCCAUCAUCCAUCCAUCCGUCUAUCCA